GAUGAGUUCCAUCCCUAGGAACAGGAUGCUCUUAUAAAUCCUUUUAAAUUUUACUUCUAGCCUGGAGAACAGCUCCCUCCAGAGAUGACUGUGGCAAGAUCGUCGGUCAAAGAGACCACCAGAGAAGGCACCUCUUCCUUCCAUACACGUCAGAAGUCUGAGGGUGGAGUGUAUCAUGACCCACACUCUGAUGAUGGCACAGCCCCCAAAGAAAACAGACAUAUGUACAAUGAUCCUGUGCCAAGGAGAGUUGGUAGCUUUUACAGAGUGCCAUCUCCACGUCCAGACAAUUCUUUCCAUGAAAAUAAUGUGUCAACUAGAGUUUCUUCUCUACCAUCAGAGAGCAGUUCUGGAACCAACCACUCAAAAAGACAACCAGCAUUCGAUCCAUGGUGAGCAUUUUGGUUUGUUUUUACUCUUCCUUUUUUUAAUUGUAGAUUUAAGAGUUGAAAUAAAUUCUGGAUGAGCUUUUUAGUGUUCUUUCUCCUGCUAGGCCUUUUUUUC
rnacentral:lncRNA from 1 species